rnacentral:rRNA from 1 species
ACGGGAGGCAGCAGUGAGGAAUAUUGGUCAAUGGACGAGAGUCUGAACCAGCCAAGUAGCGUGCAGGAUGACGGCCCUAUGGGUUGUAAACUGCUUUUGUACGGGAAUAAAGUGACCUACGUGUAGGUUUUUGCAUGUACCGUAAGAAUAAGGACCGGCUAAUUCCGUGCCAGCAGCCGCGGUAAUACGGAGGAUGCGAGCGUUAUCCGGAUUUAUUGGGUUUAAAGGGUGCGUAGGCGGGAUGUUAAGUCAGCGGUUAAAUAGUGUAGCUCAACUAUACUUUGCCGUUGAAACUGGCGUUCUUGAGUGUAAACGAGGUAGGCGGAAUGUGACGUGUAGCGGUGAAAUGCUUAGAUAUGUCACAGAACCCCGAUUGCGAAGGCAGCUUACCAGGAUACAACUGACGCUGAGGCACGAAAGCGUGGGUAUCAAACAGGAUUAGAUACCCUGGUA